UACGGAGGAUGCAAGCGUUAUCCGGAUUUAUUGGGUUUAAAGGGUGCGCAGGUUGUUUGAUAAGUCAGUGGUGAAAGUCUGUCGGUUAACGGUAGGAUUGCCAUUGAUACUGUUAGACUUGAAUAUGGAUGAGGUAGGCGGAAUGUGUAGUGUAGCGGUGAAAUGCAUAGAUAUUACACAGAACACCGAUUGCGAAGGCAGCUUACUAAUCCAUCAUUGACGCUGAGGCACGAAAGCGUGGGGAUCAAACAGGA
rnacentral:rRNA from 1 species